ACGAACGCUGGCGGCGUGCUUAACACAUGCCAGUCGAACGGAAAGGCCCUGCUUUUGUGGGGUGCUCGAGUGGCGAACGGGUGAGUAACACGUGAGUAACCUGCCCUUGACUUUGGGAUAACUUCAGGAAACUGGGGCUAAUACCGGAUAGGAGCUCCUGCUGCAUGGUGGGGGUUGGAAAGUUUCGGCGGUUGGGGAUGGACUCGCGGCUUAUCAGCUUGUUGGUGGGGUAGUGGCUUACCAAGGCUUUGACGGGUAGCCGGCCUGGGAGGGUGACCGGCCACAUUGGGACUGAGAUACGGCCCAGACUCCUACGGGAGGCAGCAGUGGGGAAUAUUGCACAAUGGGCGGAAGCCUGAUGCAGCAACGCCGCGUGCGGGAUGACGGCCUUCGGGUUGUAAACCGCUUUCGCCUGUGACGAAGCGUGAGUGACGGUAAUGGGUAAAGAAGCACCGGCUAACUACGUG
rnacentral:rRNA from 1 species